rnacentral:rRNA from 1 species
UACGUAGGGUGCAAGCGUUUGUCCGGAAUUAUUGGGCGUAAAGAGCUUGUAGGCGGUUUGUCGCGUCUGCUGUGAAAUUUCGGGGCUCAACCCCGAACUUGCAGUGGGUACGGGCAGACUAGAGUGUGGUAGGGGAGACUGGAAUUCCUGGUGUAGCGGUGAAAUGCGCAGAUAUCAGGAGGAACACCGAUGGCGAAGGCAGGUCUCUGGGCAACAACUGACGCUGAGGAGCGAAAGCGUGGGGAGCGAACAGG